UCUAUCCCUUCUAGUGUAUGCGGAGAACAUCAUCUGUUACGCGUGUGAGGGGACAUCGCCUGCGUGUUUAAGAGGAGAGGGCCUGGGAGACUUUGCAGUGGAGUGCCGACAAGACGAAGCUUGCUGGGUGGAACGUAUCGGAGAGCGAGGAGCCGUGAUCUACCGGCGCAGCUGCCGGCCGAAGUGUACCGACUACUGGCAGGAGGAGGUCUGCAUGACCGCCGAUGGGCAAGCCGAGGUGUGUAGUCUGUGCUGUACGAAGGACAGGUGCAACACUCACGUCCUGACCGGCCAUAGCGAAGCUCGAGCCCCAGGGGGAAGUGACGCCGGGACAACCGUGGCGUCAGUCAAGCUAGUGUCUAUCUUGGCCCUUACAAUGUGUCUGGAUAUCCUGGCAAUGGCUGAUUAAAUGAGAGGAAAAGUUUUCUCGUUCUUACCUUGAAACACAAAAUAUUGUGUAGAUUAUUCGCUGCUUUCCACCCAAACAAUCCACUACAAUUUGAGGCGAUUUAAAGUCUAUCGUUACAUUUAUGGGUACAUUUGAGAGAGAGUGAGUUGACUCUUUGCAAUGUACAAUAUGCUGUGCUAUAUGCUUCUGUCUAAAGCCAACAAGUGACAUUUGUGUAGAUUUUGAAGUCCUGAACAAUUUACGGAAGCUUGCACCACCAGAUACACACAGCAGGGCAUGUUCAAAUGUUGCCGUUACAGCAGUAAUAUGGAUUUUUGCAGUAAACAUGAUUUGUGGGGUUAAAAAGAAACUAGCCUGAAAACUGCACUCACCUUUAUUCUAAUUUGACUAAAUUGUGUAGUAGAAUUUUAACAAUAUAAUAGCAAUAACAGUUUCAAUACUAAUCGAAAUGUUUGUGAUCUCAUAAAACUUGCAUUUUUCGGAUGGUAAAGUUUAUCAGGACUAACUUGCAAAUAACCAAUAGAACAGAUUCAAUGUCACUUACACGGUAGUUGCUAUUUCAUCGACUAAUUGGCAAGCACAUUAACCAAUUAUAUCAAAUUUCCUUAAAAGGAACACUUACGAAUUGCUAUAACACUUUUAUUGUGUGUAUGUAAUGUAUGUACAUGUAUUGUUAUCUCGCUGGGAACGAGAUUAUGAUUCAUGACCAAUGAAGACCACGCUUGAGGGUUCUCGUGCCCAGAGAUUGCCGGUUAGAGCAGACAUGAUGAUCGAUGUCAUACAUGUAUUCAUUUUAAAUCUUAAACGUUUGUCAUUCAAAAUAUAGGCUGUUAUU